CUUGGAAAUUGAUUCUGCCUCUCGUACUGAGAGGCAUGCUGCCAGGUCAGAUUCUGUUCUAGUGGCACAGUGCCGAGACUGCAUACAAAUUUACCCUGAGUGGCUGGAGAAAAUUGAUUCAGGCAAAAAGGUGUGGACAGCUCUCAAACAAUUUCAGGCAAGUGGGAAGCAUGAAGAGUAUUACCUUCAUAAGGAAUAUAGUCACAAAUUUUACUCCAAACGCAACGUUAUUGAGUUCAUACGAAAUGGAACUGUGAAAGGGAAGCCAGUUCAGAAGAGAUCAUCUGAUACUUCUACGAACAAUCUUCAGGAUUAUAGAUGGCCCACUAAAAGACAAAGGACGAAGGCGCAAACUUCAACUAGUUUGUCAACCGGGGCACGAACAACCACAACUUCUACAAAGCUUCCACAUGGUUUCAUCUAGUAUCAUGCGGAAGACAUUGAGACAAUCAAGAUUACUUGAGCAACCUGAAUUAUGUUAGUUGUUACCUGCUUUCAAACGAAUGUGUCCUCUCAUAGUAUGUAUGUACUUCUGUUGUUGAGGAAUUUAUAUCAUUAGACAGUUCUAUUUUUAAUCAUUAUUGAUUAAUGGGUACAUACCUUCAAUCCUAGAAGACUGCCAGAUAGCCAGUCAAGGAAGCGAUUUGUUAUCGAACAGUGCAUAAUAGGGACAUUUUUACAUUCAAAGGAACAUCGUAGGAAUAAUUUGGUAUUUCGUGAA